rnacentral:rRNA from 1 species
UACGUAGGGGGCAAGCGUUGUCCGGAAUUAUUGGGCGUAAAGCGCGCGUAGGCGGUCCUUUAAGUCUGAUGUGAAAGCCCACGGCUCAACCGUGGAGGGUCAUUGGAAACUGGGGGACUUGAGUGCAGGAGAGAAGAGUGGAAUUCCACGUGUAGCGGUGAAAUGCGUAGAUAUUGGGAGGAACACCAGUGGCGAAGGCGGCUCACUGGACCGGUACUGACGCUGAUGCGCGAAAGCGUGGGGAGCAAACGGG